GGUUCGUGCCACGUUGUCGAUAGCUUAAGGGCGGUGACAGAUGAUGCUAUGAUCGAACCAAAAACAAGCUUUUUUACAUCUUGAUAGGAAUCUGUUCAUCUUUUUUUUCUAUAGAUUUACGGAGCCGUUUCGUAUGAAUUCUAAU